GAUGAACGCUGGCGGCGUGCCUAAUACAUGCAAGUCGAGCGAACAGACGAGGAGCUUGCUCCUCUGACGUUAGCGGCGGACGGGUGAGUAACACGUGGAUAACCUACCUAUAAGACUGGGAUAACUUCGGGAAACCGGAGCUAAUACCGGAUAACAUGUUGAACCGCAUGGUUCAACAGUGAAAGACGGUUUUGCUGUCACUUAUAGAUGGAUCCGCGUCGCAUUAGCUAGUUGGUAAGGUAACGGCUUACCAAGGCAACGAUGCGGAGCCGACCUGAGAGGGUGAUCCGCCACACCGGAAACGGGAACCGGGCCAGACCCCCACGGGAGGGAGCAGUGGGGAAUUUUGCCCAAAGGGGGAAAGCCUGAACGGGCCAAGGCCCGGGGGUGAAAAAGGGCUUUGGAUUGGAAAAACCUUUUUAUUGGGAAAAAAAAAAGUUGGAAAAAACUUUGCAGGUUUGACGGGUACCAAAGAAGAAACCCCCGCCAAAUUCGGG
rnacentral:rRNA from 1 species